CACCGUUGGCAGAGGAACCCGGGAGCUCGUGGGUGAGGUUUUCAGAGAAACGCUCAGCGAGGAUGAAGAGGAAGACUUUCGACUGGAAGCCCUGUGAGGG